GAUGAACGCUAGCGACAGGCUUAACACAUGCAAGUCGAGGGGCAGCAUGGACAUAGCUUGCUAUGUUUGAUGGCGACCGGCGCACGGGUGCGUAACACGUAUCCAAUCUGCCCGUUACUCGGGGAUAGCCUUCUGAAAGGAAGAUUAAUACCCGAUGGCAUGUAUUUCCGGCAUCGGAGAUACAUUAAAGAUUUAUCGGUAACGGAUGAGGAUGCGUACGAUUAGCUAGUUGGCGGGGUAACGGCCCACCAAGGCGACGAUCGUUAGGGGUUCUGAGAGGAAGGUCCCCCACACUGGAACUGAGACACGGUCCAGACUCCUACGGGAGGCAGCAGUGAGGAAUAUUGGUCAAUGGUCGGAAGACUGAACCAGCCAAGUAGCGUGAAGGAUGACUGCCCUACGGGUUGUAAACUUCUUUUGUUUGGGAAUAAAAGACGCUACGUGUAGCGUUCUGCAUGUACCUUACGAAUAAGCAUCGGCUAAUU
rnacentral:rRNA from 1 species